rnacentral:snoRNA from 1 species
UUUCCAUGAUGAAUGAAUCAAGAAUUCUGCAAUUCGGACAAUCUCCUCUCUUGUGAGAUUGCAUGUUGACUCUUCUACACUUGAUCUGACU